rnacentral:rRNA from 1 species
AGUGAACGCUGGCGGUAGGCCUAACACAUGCAAGUCGAACGGCAGCACAGUAAGAGCUUGCUCUUACGGGUGGCGAGUGGCGGGCGGGUGAGGAAUACAUCGGAAUCUACUUUUACGUGGGGGAUAACGUAGGGAAACUUACGCUAAUACCGCAUACGACCUACGGGUGAAAGCAGGGGAUCUUCGGACCUUGCGCGAUUGAAUGAGCCGAUGUCGGAUUAGCUAGUUGGCGGGGUAAAGGCCCACCAAGGCGACGAUCCGUAGCUGGUCUGAGAGGAUGAUCAGCCACACUGGAACUGAGACACGGUCCAGACUCCUACGGGAGGCAGCAGUGGGGAAUAUUGGACAAUGGGCGCAAGCCUGAUCCAGCCAUACCGCGUGGGUGAAGAAGGCCUUCGGGUUGUAAAGCCCUUUUGUUGGGAAAGAAAAGCAGCAGGUUAAUACCCCGCUGUUCUGACGGUACCCAAAGAAUAAGCACCGGCUAACUUCGUG